rnacentral:rRNA from 1 species
UACGGGGGGGCAAGCGUUGUUCGGAAUUACUGGGCGUAAAGGGCUCGUAGGCGGCCAACUAAGUCGGAUGUGAAAUCCCCAGGCUCAACUUGGGAACUGCAUCCGAUACUGGAUGGCUUGAAUUCGGGAGAGGGAUGCAGAAUUCCAGGUGUAGCGGUGAAAUGCGUAGAUAUCAGGAGGAACACCGGUGGCGAAGGCGGGUCUCUGGGCCGAUACUGACGCUGAGGAGCGAAAGCGUGGGGAGCGAACAGG